rnacentral:rRNA from 1 species
CUUCGUGGCUCGUUGCCGAUGUCUUUCGCCAGACUGCCGGUAGCAAGCCGGAGGAAGGUGGGGAUGAUGUCAAGUCAGCAUGGCCCUUACAUCCUGGGCUACACGCACGCUACAAUGGCCGGGACAAUGGGCUGCCAAACCGCAAGGUGGAGCGAAUCCCACAAACCCGGUCUCAGUUCAGAUCGCGGGCUGCAACUCGCCCGCGUGAAGGUGGAGUCGCUAGUAACCGCGGGUCAGCACUACCGCGGUGAAUA